rnacentral:lncRNA from 1 species
GAUUCUACAGUUAUGCGGAAGGAGGAAGUUUUCCUUGAAGAAAAGAUGAGAUCAUGAGUAGAGCUCGCUCUGGUUGGUAUUCUGGAACUGUGUGCCCAGCUCCUCUUACUGUGGUUAGUACCACUCCUUUGUAUCCAACCACAUACCCUCCAACCUGUUAUUGUCAUAUAUGAAUUGUUAAAUUUAGAAAUUAUUGAUUAUAUUUGGCUGUGGUGGCAAAUAAGUAGUGGCAUUCUUACCUCAUUAUUAGAAUACCAUGGCUGCCAAGCAGUCUCGACAGGAAGUUUCAAGGUGUUUACUGAAUAUCUAGAGGAUGUUAUUGGAACCCGACCAUCAAUGUCACCGCUGCAAGUUUCAGUUUAUAUAAUGUUUCAGUAGCUGUCAUUUUGUAGUCAUCGGUAAGUUGUAUUUCAGUGAACUUAGUAUAGAGAUUUAAGGCUAGUUCAAUUAGAACAGGUCCGGGUAUCUAAUAGAAGAUGCAAUCUUCUGAUGCGAUUUGGGAUUACCUGUAGAUCCACAGUCUUAUGCCACUUGCUAUGAGCUGCUUGAUUGUGGGAAGAAUUGAUGUUGGGCUGUCUGUCCAUCCAAAACCACUGUACACAUGCAGAGGAAAUUAGUUGUUGGUUCAUUGUAGUUGAUAACUUUUGUUAUACACUUGUAUUUACUCCGUGUAGUGCUACUCCAUCUGUCCAGGAAAAAGAGUAGUCUUUCUUCUGGGCAGAUGAUGUAUUUUUUAAGCAAAGACGGUAAUACCUGCAAGAUGACCAUGUUGUGUUUAUGGUAUGAAGCGCUUUUUGCACCCCUGGCGUAUUCAGAUAGGUGUUGACAUAGUUGUCUGAGCAGGGAUCAUAUCCCUUGACCUAAUAAUGGAACAUCUAGAUCUUUUAAUAUCUGUUUAGAAAGUUGAUAGGUUAAUUUGUUUUUAUGCUAGAGUUUUAGAUAAAUAAAUUAUUUGAACUUUGGCGAAUAUGUAUAUCUAAAUUUUUACAGAAUUGACGAAUAUAUACUCGAGUUUCUUUUGUAAAUGUCGCUAUUGACCUUGUCUUUUUUACGACAAUUUUUUGUAUGAUUUUUGUAUUAUUAGAUGUUCUUGAUUGGAUUUCGGAGAACCUUAAACUUACUGAACUAGGUUUUGUUGCAGAGUCGUGGCAAAUUGGAGCAUAGAUGUUGUAGAUGUCAAUUCCUCCAACCUCGUUCCAUCCUUGAUUCUGAUAUUGCUGGCAUUUGUCAGAAUAAUUCCCGG